rnacentral:rRNA from 1 species
GAUGAACGCUGGCGGCGUGCCUAAUACAUGCAAGUCGAGCGAACGGACGAGAAGCUUGCUUCUCUGAUGUUAGCGGCGGACGGGUGAGUAACACGUGGAUAACCUACCUAUAAGACUGGGAUAACUUCGGGAAACCGGAGCUAAUACCGGAUAAUAUUUUGAACCGCAUGGUUCAAAAGUGAAAGACGGUCUUGCUGUCACUUAUAGAUGGAUCCGCGCUGCAUUAGCUAGUUGGUAAGGUAACGGCUUACCAAGGCAACGAUGCAUAGCCGACCUGAGAGGGUGAUCGGCCACACUGGAACUGAGACACGGUCCAGACUCCCACGGGAGGCAGCAGUAGGGAAUCUUCCGCAAUGGGCGAAAGCCUGACGGAGCAACGCCGCGUGAGUGAUGAAGGUCUUCGGAUCGUAAAACUCUGUUAUUAGGGAAGAACAUAUGUGUAAGUAACUGUGCACAUCUUGACGGUACCUAAUCAGAAAGCCACGGCUAACUACGUGCCAGCAGCCGCGGUAAUACGUAGGUGGCAAGCGUUAUCCGGAAUUAUUGGGCGUAAAGCGCGCGUAGGCGGUUUUUUAAGUCUGAUGUGAAAGCCCACGGCUCAACCGUGGAGGGUCAUUGGAAACUGGAAAACUUGAGUGCAGAAGAGGAAAGUGGAAUUCCAUGUGUAGCGGUGAAAUGCGCAGAGAUAUGGAGGAACACCAGUGGCGAAGGCGACUUUCUGGUCUGUAACUGACGCUGAUGUGCGAAAGCGUGGGGAUCAAACAGGAUUAGAUACCCUGGUAGUCCACGCCGUAAACGAUGAGUGCUAAGUGUUAGGGGGUUUCCGCCCCUUAGUGCUGCAGCUAACGCAUUAAGCACUCCGCCUGGGGAGUACGACCGCAAGGUUGAAACUCAAAGGAAUUGACGGGGACCCGCACAAGCGGUGGAGCAUGUGGUUUAAUUCGAAGCAACGCGAAGAACCUUACCAAAUCUUGACAUCCUUUGACAACUCUAGAGAUAGAGCCUUCCCCUUCGGGGGACAAAGUGACAGGUGGUGCAUGGUUGUCGUCAGCUCGUGUCGUGAGAUGUUGGGUUAAGUCCCGCAACGAGCGCAACCCUUAAGCUUAGUUGCCAUCAUUAAGUUGGGCACUCUAAGUUGACUGCCGGUGACAAACCGGAGGAAGGUGGGGAUGACGUCAAAUCAUCAUGCCCCUUAUGAUUUGGGCUACACACGUGCUACAAUGGACAAUGCAAAGGGCAGCGAAACCGCGAGGUCAAGCAAAUCCCAUAAAGUUGUUCUCAGUUCGGAUUGUAGUCUGCAACUCGACUACAUGAAGCUGGAAUCGCUAGUAAUCGUAGAUCAGCAUGCUACGGUGAAUACGUUCCCGGGUCU